rnacentral:rRNA from 1 species
GACGAACGCUGGCGGCGUGCUUAACACAUGCAAGUCGAACGCAGUGGCGCACGGGUGAGUAACGCGUAAUCCACCUGCCCUUCCGAGGGGGACAACAGUUGGAAACGACUGCUAAUACCGCAUACUGAAGGAGGGGAUUGCGUCUGAUUAGCUAGUUGGAGGGGUAACGGCCCACCAAGGCGAUGAUCAGUAGCCGGUCUGAGAGGAUGAUCGGCCACAUUGGGACUGAGACACGGCCCAGACUCCUACGGGAGGCAGCAGUGGGGAAUCUUCCGCAAUGGACGGAAGUCUGACGGAGCAACGCCGCGUGAGUGAUGACGGCCUUCGGGUUGUAAAGCUCUGUUGAUCGGGACGCGGUACCGGAAUAGAAAGCCACGGCUAACUACGUGCCAGCAGCCGCGGUAAUAC